AUCUUUGGAAUUAAUAUCCUGAACACACCUGAUCUUAGAAGCUAAGCAGGGUCGGGCCCGGUUAGUACUUGGAUGGGAGACCUCCUGGGAAUGACAGGUACUGUAGGCU
ensembl:rRNA 5S_rRNA 5S ribosomal RNA